rnacentral:rRNA from 1 species
CUGGCGGCGUGCCUAAUACAUGCAAGUCGAACGGUCUUUCUAUGGAAGCUUGCUUCCACUGAGAAGAUAGUGGCGAACGGGUGAGUAACACGUGGGUAACCUGCCCAUAAGAGGGGGAUAACAUCCGGAAACGGGUGCUAAUACCGCAUAGUUUUCUUGAUCGCAUGAUUGAGAAAGGAAAGAUGGCCUUUGUGCUGUCGCUUAUGGAUGGACCCGCGGCGUAUUAGUUAGUUGGUGAGGUAACGGCUCACCAAGACGAUGAUACGUAGCCGACCUGAGAGGGUGAUCGGCCACAUUGGGACUGAGACACGGCCCAAACUCCUACGGGAGGCAGCAGUAGGGAAUCUUCCGCAAUGGACGAAAGUCUGACGGAGCAACGCCGCGUGAGUGAAGAAAGGUUUUCGGAUCGUAAAACUCUGUUGUCAGAGAAGAACAAGUUGGAGAGUAACUGCUCCAGCCUUGACGGUGUCUGACCAGAAAGCCACGGCUAACUACGUGCCAGCCGCUGC